AUGUUUUCUGCCCACCUCUGCCCCUCCCUCAGGGGACCCAGCCCGUCCCAGGCCCUGCCAGGCUCCUCGGGCUGGAUGGGCGUCUCAAGCGGGAGGAAACAGACACCAGCAGGCCGCAGGACAGGACACGUCUGCGAAGAAUGCGGGAGGCAGCCGGGGAGUGAGGUGGGGCUGGCGCAGCUCCCAGUGGGACUAAGAAAACGCCACAGAGACUGGCAGCCAACAAGACAGAGCAUCUGCCCCAAGUGUGGGGUACUUCCUCCCCGAGGAUAGAAGGGAGCGAGAUGCUAUAAGGUGGAAGUUCAACAAAUUCCACCCAUUGGAAAGUUAAAUUUCUGAAGAGUAAGAGUGACGGUGGGAAGCUCUAGACUAGGGAAAGUGUCUGCACCGCCGGCCCAAGGCCACCAGCUGUGCGCCCAGAGUGCUGCCCGCCCAGGGCGCCCGCGACCCACGGGGGCUGUAAGGAGGGUUCCAAUGGGCUGAGUGCUCAGGCUCGCCCGGAACAUCACACAGUAAAACCAUGAGGCACGGACACUACAGAGAGGACCAGGAUGCCACAGUGAGGCUGCAGUGACAGGGCUGACACAGGGCAUGCGAGGCAAGACAUGGGACACAGUGAGUGUGACCAACACUGGGGCACUCCCAGUGCCGAGACCAAACUGUGCCCUGGGGCUGAGGAGCCCUGGGUGCUCACCCACCAGGACGCCGUCCUCAGGCCUCGGAAGCCCAGGCCUACAGUCUGCAGGUGACCACAGGCAGCAGUGCCAACUCCACCUGUGGCCAGGCCUGGACCUGGCAGGGCUCUGGCCAAGGGGAGGACCAGCCACUCUGUGACUGGCUGACGAGGCGGCUGGAGUCUGUGAGGAGGAAACCAGGAGACAGUGAGCUCCGAGCUCGGCACACAGAGAGGUCCUCGAAGGCACAGGCUGCCGCUCAGAGCAGAGCCCUGCCCUUGGGUGGGUGGUGGACCCGGAGCAUCCCAUCUUCUUCAUGGCUGCUCCCACCCUGGGCCCCAGCCCGUUCCGUCCCAUCCCAACACUGCUUCCCUGGCCUUAGAGACACCCCUUUCACCCCUCUGUCCCAGCUCCCUGAGAACUCCGCCCUCACUACGUCCUCUCUCUGUCCUGCUCCAGAGCAAAUGUCCAAGAGUCCCCAGCACCACGGGCUUCUGCCGAGUGCCACGACCUGGGAGCCCAGGGCUUUCCUCCC
rnacentral:lncRNA from 1 species